rnacentral:rRNA from 1 species
AACGAACGCUGGCGGCAUGCCUAACACAUGCAAGUCGAACGAACCCUUCGGGACUUUUGUCGCACGGGUGUGUAACGCGUCGGAACCUUCCCUUAGGUUUGGAAUAACUCUCCGACAGGGGUGCUAAUACCGGAUAAUGUCUUCGGACCAAAGAUUUAUUGCCUUUGGAUGGGCCCGCGUUGGAUUAGCUGGUUGUUAGGGUAAAAGCCUACUAAGGCGACGAUGCAUAGCUGGUAAGAGAGAAUGAUCAGCCACACUUGGAGUGGGACGCGGCCGAGAAUCCUACGCGAGGCAGCAGUGGGGGAUAGUGCACAAUCGGGGAAGGCAUGAACGUGCAAUGACGGGUAAGUGAUGAAGGCAUUAAAGAUGUAAAGCUUUUUUAACCAGGAUGAUCAUGACAGUACCGGAAGAAUAAGCUACGGCUAACUCCGUG